rnacentral:lncRNA from 1 species
AAGUAUGAAUGAGAUUUAGGAAGUCGUUCCAAAUCACAUUCAAGAUAAUCAUAUAAGUAAAUGAAUCACAUUGGAUAGUAGACAUGAAUAAACUAUCAAACCAAACAAUGUGGUCAAGAGUAUUGUAUUAGAGAAAGACCGUAUUGCAUUGUAAUCCUAAACUGAAUAGGUUCUCCACCCCUUCUGAUUAGCUUGGGUAACCAUGAUAUGCUGCUAGGUAUCACUCAUGGUUUGUGGAAGCCCUAAACGUGUAUAAACACUAAAGGGAGAAUUGAAAGUAAGUUUCAAUUCACAAUCGAUUUGAAAGAGUUUUAAUCGCCCACUGCCUCACUAAAAGGAACCUAAUGGAUCGUACACCGUGUAAGGUAGAGAUUGAAGAAACAACGGAGAUGAGUA